AUGUAUUGCUUCGGCAGUACAUAUACUUAAAAAUUGGAACGAUACAGAGAAGAUUAGCAUGGCCCCCGCAAGAAUGACACAAAAAAAUCUGAAGCGUUCCCCCAUUUU